rnacentral:rRNA from 1 species
UACGUAGGGUGCAAGCGUUGUCCGGAAUUAUUGGGCGUAAAGAGCUCGUAGGUGGCCUGUCGCGUCGGCUGUGAAAACUCGGGGCUCAACUCCGAGCUUGCAGUCGAUACGGGCAGGCUAGAGUUCGGCAGGGGAGACUGGAAUUCCUGGUGUAGCGGUGAAAUGCGCAGAUAUCAGGAGGAACACCAGCGGCGAAGGCGGCGCUCUGGGCCGGUACUGACACUGAGGAGCGAAAGCGUGGGUAGCAAACAGG